ensembl:lncRNA
GCCCCCUAGAGGGGUGGGUGUUCAUUACAGCCAGAGCCUUACCAGUAACACAGCUGGCGGUUGGUUCCCACCAUGGCUCCUAAGGAAAGGUCACGGGGUCAUUGACAUUGGCAGUCAAGCUUAAGCCAUCUUCCUCAUGUGCCCGAUCCCGUGUCGUCUACGACCUUUAGAGCUAAGCCAAAUUAACUAGACCUUUCACCGAUGCAAAGCUACAAUUUGCCAGAUAAAAUGAGCAUAUCCAUGUGCUAGAUUAUAACUCUUAUUCGUUAUCAUUGCUUCUUGUGAACCUCUUUUAAUCAGAUAAUGGCCCCUGAGGUUUUUCUUGCACCUCCCCGGGGGAUUGUGGUUAGGAGAGGAUGUCAGGAGCCGACAUUAAGAAUGUGUAUAUAUAUUAGUGGUGGGCCGUUAUCGGCGGUAACGUGCUGCGUUAUGGUGAGGCGAUAAAGAAAAAAUAGCGCCGAUAAUCUAUUCUCAAAGUUGGGUUGGGAGCUGGGUCUAUACUACCCAAGCUAUGAUGAUUUUCACCUUGAUAUUCUAGCGCGGAUGUAUACCUACGAGCGCGGAUGUUUACCAAGCCAAAUUGCACUGUAGGGGGCGAGAACGAGACGUGCUAGCAUGGAUGCAGCUACGAAGUCACCGGGUUUGCUACGAAGUCACCGGGUUUGCUUCAGGGAACAUUUUAUUUUCAAGAAGCUUCCCAAUGGAAACCUCGACAAGACGAAGUUCUUCAAGUCUCAAAUACCACCUAAACGCAAAGCAUCGCUUAGCUAACGCGGAAGAUGCCGGGCCAAGCGCUGAUGUAGCGCAGGGGAAGAGUCGUCGUCAAACUACUAUGUUUGAGUGCAACCGAGGCGAGCCCGUCAGCACGGCUCUAUCGGCCAAGCUAACGAAUCUCCUCGCUCAGUGGAUUGCCACCAGCUGCCGGCCCAUCAGCGUGGUAGAAGAUGACGGGCUCGAGCUUGUUCUUCAGGCGGCCAAAGAUGAACGAUGAGCUGGGUUUCCAGGGUAACGCAGUGAUGAUCUAAGAUGUCGGCCAUGUGAUCUCUGGGUUUGAAUUCUGCCCGUCAUCGUCCUUCAACCGAACCACUAAAAAUAAUGCUCACUCUCUUAUUACGUGAAGUUAUCUUAUGAUUCACACUUGACAAAAAGGUACCUGAAAACAGGCAGUAGGAGGCAUCACCAUGGCGACGCUUUUACAAAUAGAAGAAAGAACUGAAAAAUAAAAAGCGGACAAAGAGACGGAGGACAGAGUGAGAGGACGUGAGGAACCAGAUGAACCACCGGAGCCAAACUGGAGGAUUCUGUUGCAUAGAUUGAAGCAAACGGGAGGAUGUUUGAUCGAAACGCACAACAUGAGAGUGAAACACACACACACACACACACACAUACUUAGGGGGAAGCACAAGUUCUAUUUUGUUUCCCAAACAAACGGGCGUGAGCGACACCUUGCAGCCUGAAGACUUGAAGCUAAAUGCUAACGGUAGUUAUGCUAAUGGGGUGUUUGGCCGGUACAAAGGUCAACGGGUCCAAAGUCUUAGUUCAAACAACACGCAGCACAAACUACUUCAGAAAUAAAAUCAUGGACCUCGGGAGGGCGCUGGAGCAAAAGUCAGAAGGAUUCAUCAUCUGGGGAACACGAAUGUCUCCACAAACGCGACAAUACGUCAGAUUGCUGCAGAUGUUUGAGUGUGAAUUAAAGAAAUAAUUUCACUGGUUUGACAGUAAGUACAUACAGACGGUUGAUUUAAGAGGCUGCGUGGUCCCUGUGAACGUCUCCACGCACUUCAACGAGACGGCGGCCAUUUCUACAAAAAACGUCAAUUUUAACGCGCAUUUAACAUGUUCUGUUGUGCAGAUAUAUCAUUUGAAGAACGCUGCCGUGUUACAAACUGACUUGACUUGUCUGAAUCAAACGCUUUGUUAUCGCGCACUUUUCUUUAAAUACUCGGUUACGACAUUCUAUGAAAAAGAGAUAUGACAGUUUACUUAUUACCAUGGUGAGCAAGCAUGUGAGGAUGUUUAUUUCUUGUUUUUUGUGCUGUUUUAGACGUUGACUUCUCGAGGAGAUAAACAUUUAAUUAUUAAUUAGUUUUAACACCUGAGAGGGGAAACGUGUUUUUAUACUGUAUUUUUAAGCCAAAAUGGAACUUUUUCUGUCAAAUGAGAGGAUUUGUUGCUUUCAUUCUUCACGCAUGAAGAUAGACUGAAUGUUUUAGUUGCUGCUAUGUGCACUACCGGGGCAAGAUGUCCAAUCAGCCAACAUAUUGAUACGUGUACGGAUUGAUCUGUGACUAAGAAAACCAAAUAAACUCUGUUUUCCUAAAACCAGGAAGCAGCAGAGACUCUCUGCAGGAUGAUGGAUCACAGACAUCAAUGGAUGUGAUUGGUUAGAUGGUGACACGUGAUGACCUGAAGGUUUCAGGCCUGAUGUCUCCUCCUCCUCAGCGGACGUGACAGUUCUCCAAAGAGUCGCUUAAGAUCCGACAACAGGAAGCUGUUCUGAAGAAAAGAGGCGGCGCGGUCCAAAACAUCUGGAUGAGAGACGAGAGUCCCGCCUGCACAUGGCGGCCCGGUACUGUGAGGGCGACUCACCCGAGGGACAAUCUUAUCCAGGCAGCAGGUACCCCGCACCUGUUACGUCGUACCUGCCGCAGGAGCACAGCUGUUCAUCAGUUCAACCAAGAACAAAAACCAACGCGUCACCCACUGGAGCCAACGGGCGCACGGCGGGAAGAGGAAGUGAUGUCACGGCGGCGCUCUUUUCCAGGAAGGCUUCCGAAGCCGGCGGCGGUGGAAGGAUGUCAAUGACUCGCGGGCUCCGCCUCCUUUAAAUGUCCCUAUUUCAUGUCUAAAUAAAAGAAAUGUGGCGUCCUUUUGUUCUUUGGGCUGAAAUGAAACCGCCCCGGCCUUGAUAAACUCAAUUAGACCCCGCCCCCUGGACGUUGACAUGAGGACAAAUCCUUUCUACCGUUUAUCGUGAAUUUCUUCUGAAAGUCGUUUUCGUGGACUUCAUCCAACAUACUUUCUUCGCACGGGUCCACCUCAAAGACCCGGAGGGGGAUCAGAGCGACCCAUCGGCUCUGUGUGGUUCCUCAGGCUGUUCUCUCAACAGACCACGCCCCCUUCACGGAGAGGCGGGGCUUGAAGCCGUCAACCCUCAGUCCAUUCAUUCAAACAGAUCAGUCGUAGUCGCUUCAAAGUACAGAAACAAAGAAACCCUGGGCUCGGAUAGAUAAUUAUUCACUCCCAUUUAAUGGUCGAUACGGUUAUCUGCAUUCACGUUGCUUCAUCGGCUGCACUCUAAUGCCGAGCAGCGCGGAAUCACAUAGCGUGUAGUGUGUCACAACAUCUUAGAUAAAGUGAAUGAAAAGGGGGCUGAUGAGACUAGACGGUUGGGAUUCCAAUUGAGCGGCCGACAGGAAGUAAACAAGUCACUGCAGGUUUCUGAGCCCUAACGUCGGGUGACCAAGACAACACACGUGGCAUAAAUAUUAGAGAGCUGUAAAAAGAGAGUUAGUCCACGUUAGAUUCAUCUCAUUCAUGUACUGUACUGUCACCAAACUCUUCAGCCUAUACAUAUAUAUAUAUUCAUAUAUCUCCAAAAUAUUAAAAAGUACUUAAUAUAAAAAUACAGAAGAGUUGUAAAAAAUGAGCAAAACAUUGAGUUUUAUAUGAAAACCAUGCAAG